UGAGGAAUAUUGCGCAAUGGGCGAAAGCCUGACGCAGCAACGCCGCGUGGGGGAUGAAUCUCUAUGGAGUGUAAACCCCUGUAAGCAGGGACGAAAGGUUUAUAUUCGACAAGGGUAUAGAUUUGACGGUACCUGCAGAGUAAGCUCCGGCUAACUCCGUG
rnacentral:rRNA from 1 species